rnacentral:rRNA from 1 species
GAUGAGCGCUGGCGGCGUGCCUAAUACAUGCAAGUCGAGCGAACAGACGAGGAGCUUGCUCCUCUGACGUUAGCGGCGGACGGGUGAGUAACACGUGGAUAACCUACCUAUAAGACUGGGAUAACUUCGGGAAACCGGAGCUAAUACCGUAUAACAUGUUGAACCGCAUGGUUCAACAGUGAAAGACGGUCUUGCUGUCACUUAUAGAUGGAUCCGCGCCGCAUUAGCUAGUUGGUAAGGUAACGGCUUACCAAGGCAACGAUGCGUAGCCGACCUGAGAGGGUGGUCGGCCACACUGGAACUGAGACACGGUCCAGACUCCUACGGGAGGCAGCAGUAGGGAAUCUUACGCAAUGGGCGAAAGCCUGACGGAGCAAGGCCGCGUGAGUGAUGAAGGUCUUCGGAUCGUAAAACUCUGUUAUUAGGGAAGAACAAAUGUGUAAGUAAAUAUGCACGUCUUGACGGUACCGAAUCAGAAAGCCACGGCUAACUACGUG